GAUGAACGCUGGCGGCGUGCUUAACACAUGCAAGUCGAACGGAAAGGCCCAAGCUUGCUUGGGUACUCGAGUGGCGAACGGGUGAGUAACACGUGGGUGAUCUGCCCUGCACUUCGGGAUAAGCCUCGGAAACUGGGUCUAAUACCGGAUAGGACGAUGGUUUGGAUGCCAUUGUGGACAGUUUUUUCGGUGUGGGAUGGGCUCGGGGCCUAUCAGCUUGUUGGUGGGGUAAUGGCCUACCAAGGCGUCGACGGGUAGCCGGCCUGAGAGGGUGUACGGCCACAUUGGGACUGAGAGACGGCCCAGACUCCUACGGGAGGCAGCAGUGGGGAAUAUUGCACAAUGGGCGCAAGCCUGAUGCAGCGAGGCCGCGUGGGGGAUGACGGCCUUCGGGUUGUAAGCUCCUUUCGCUAGGGACGAAGCGGUUUUGUGACGGUACCUGGAGAAGAAGCACCGGCUAACUACGUG
rnacentral:rRNA from 1 species